rnacentral:rRNA from 1 species
AGGGAAUCUUCCACAAUGGACGGAAGUCUGAUGGAGCAACGCCGCGUGAGUGAUGAAGGUUUUCGGAUCGUAAAACUCUGUUGUAAGGGAAGAACCAGUACGUCAGGCAAUGGACGUACCUUGACGGUACCUUAUUAGAAAGCCACGGCUAACUACGUGCCAGCAGCCGCGGUAAUACGUAGGUGGCAAGCGUUGUCCGGAAUUAUUGGGCGUAAAGCGCGCGCAGGUGGUUUCUUAAGUCUGAUGGGAAAGCCCACGGCUUAACCGUGGAGGGAUAUGGGAACCUGGGAGAAUUGGGUGCAGAAGAGGAAAGUGGAAUGCCAGGUGUGGCGUGGAAAGGCGUGGUGAUUUGGGGGAACACCAGUGGGGAAGGCGACUUUCUGGUCUGCAACUGACGCUGGGGCGCGAAAGCAUGGGGAGCAAACA